GGCCGUGCGCAGUUUCGGCUCGGCCAAGGCGCGCUACGACUUCAGCGCUCGGGACCGGACGGAGCUGUCGCUGCGCGAGGGGGACGUGAUCCGAGUGCUCAGCAAGAAGGGACACCCGGGCUGGUGGAAAGGGGAGAUCUACGGCCGGGUCGGCUGGUUCCCGGCGAACUACGUGGAGGAGGAUUAUUCAGAUUAUUGCUGAGCACGGACCCCCCCCCCCUCAAACCACCCCCCUCCCGCGUCCUCCCCUCGCCCCGGAGCCCCCCCAAAUCCCCUCCCCCGGGUAAUCGGGGCCCCUUCCUGCCCCGGAGGGACAAUAAAGGAAGAGGAGGAGGAUGA